rnacentral:rRNA from 1 species
ACUCAAAGGAAUUGACGGGGGCCCGCACAAGCGGUGGAGCAUGUGGAUUAAUUCGAUGCAACGCGAAGAACCUUACCAAGGCUUGACAUGGAAGCGACAGCUGUAGAGAUACGGUUUCCCUUCGGGGCGCUUCACACAGGUGGUGCAUGGUUGUCGUCAGCUCGUGUCGUGAGAUGUUGGGUUAAGUCCCGCAACGAGCGCAACCCCUAUUUUUAGUAGCCAACGAUUCGGUCGGGCACACUAGAGAGACUGCCGUGGAGAACGCGGAGGAAGGCGGGGACGACGUCAAAUCAUCAUGCCCCUUAUGUCUUGGGCUUCACACGUGCUACAAUGGGCUGAACAAAGUGAAGCAAAGCCGCGAGGCGGAGCAAACCACAAAAACAGUCCCCAGUUCGGAUUGCAGGCUGCAACCCGCCUGCAUGAAGUUGGAAUCGCUAGUAAUCGCGAAUCAGCAUGUCGCGGUGAAUACGUUCCCGGGCCUUGUACACACCGCCCGU